GCUUCCUUUACAAGCUCUCCUCUUGAGACCCCAUCUCUCUCAGAGAGUGGAUCUCCAGUUUGAGCUACUCUUCUCUGUGAACAGGAAUUCGAUGAAAAUAUAAGCAAUAUGCCUCAAAUUAAUGACAUCUGAUCUUGACAAGUUUGUG
rnacentral:lncRNA from 12 species